rnacentral:rRNA from 1 species
ACUCAAAUGAAUAGACGGGGGCCCGCACAAGCGGUGGAGCACGUGGUUUAAUUCGAUGCAAACCGAAGAACCUUACCUGGGUUUGACAUGACGGUGUUAGGCGCGAGAGAUUGCGCCGACCGCGCAGAGAUGCGUGGAGCCGCCACAGGUGCUGCAUGGCUGUCGUCAGCUCGUGUCGUGAGAUGUUGGGUCAAGUCCCGCAACGAGCGCAACCCCUAUUGCCAGUUGCUAACAGGAGAGCUGAGCACUCUGGCGAGACUGCCGCCGACAAGGCGGAGGAAGGUGGGGAUGACGUCAAGUCAUCAUGGCCUAUAUGCCCAGGGCGACACACGUGCUACAAUGGCCGGCACAGACGGCAGCUUAGUGGAGACACUUGGCGAAUCCUCAAAAGCCGGUCCCAGUUCGGAUUGUAGUCUGCAACCCGACUACAUGAAGCCGGAAUCGCUAGUAAUCGCAGAUCAGCCAAGCUGCGGUGAAUACGUUCCCGGGCCUUGUACACACCGCCCGU